AGUGAACGCUGGCGGUAGGCCUAACACAUGCAAGUCGAACGGCAGCACAGUAAGAGCUUGCUCUUACGGGUGGCGAGUGGCGGACAGGUGAGGAAUACAUCGGAAUCUACUUUUUCGUGGGGGAUAACGUAGGGAAACUUACGCUAAUACCGCAUACGAACUACGGGUGAAAGCAGGGGAUCUUCGGACCUUGCGCGAUUGAAUGAGCCGAUGUCGGAUUAGCUAGUUGGCGGGGUAAAGGCCCACCAAGGCGACGAACCGUAGCUGGUCUGAGAGGAUGAUCAGCCACACUGGAACUGAGACACGGUCCAGACUCCUACGGGAGGCAGCAGUGGGGAAUAUUGGACAAUGGGCGCAAGCCUGAUCCAGCCAUACCGCGUGGGUGAAGAAGGCCUUCGGGUUGUAAAGCCCUUUUGUUGGGGAAGAAAAGCAGCAGGUUAAUACCCCGCUGUUCUGACGGUACCCAAAGAAUAAGCACCGGCUAACUUCGUG
rnacentral:rRNA from 1 species